GGCACAAGCGGUGGAGCAUGUGGUUUAAUUCGAUGAUACGCGAGGAACCUUACCUGGGCUCAAAUGUAUGUUGACGUAUUCUGAAAGGGAUACUUCUUCGGACAAUAUACAAGGUGCUGCAUGGUUGUCGUCAGCUCGUGCCGUGAGGUGUCGGGUUAAGUCCCAUAACGAGCGCAACCCCUAUCAUUAGUUGCCAUCAGGUUAAGCUGGGGACUCUAAAGGAACUGCCUACGCAAGUAGUGAGGAAGGCGGGGAGUGACGUCAAAUCAGCACGGCCCUUACCGUCCAGGGCUACACACGUGCUACAAUGGCCGAUACAGAGGGCAGCUACCUGGUGACAGGAUGCAAAUCUCCAAAGUCGGUCUCAGUUCGGAUCGGAGUCUGCAACCCGACUCCGUGAAGUUGGAUUCGCUAGUAAUCGCGCAUCAGCCAUGGCGCGGUGAAUACGUUCCCGGGCCUU
rnacentral:rRNA from 1 species